CGUACACUCCUACGGGAGGCAGCAGUAGGGAAUCUUCGGCAAUGGGGGCAACCCUGACCGAGCAACGCCGCGUGAGUGAAGAAGGUUUUCGGAUCGUAAAGCUCUGUUGUAAGUCAAGAACGAGUGUGAGAGUGGAAAGUUCACACUGUGACGGUAGCUUACCAGAAAGGGACGGCUAACUACGUGCCAGCAGCCGCGGUAAUACGUAGGUCCCGAGCGUUGUCCGGAUUUAUUGGGCGUAAAGCGAGCGCAGGCGGUUUGAUAAGUCUGAAGUUAAAGGCUGUGGCUCAACCAUAGUUCGCUUUGGAAACUGUCAAACUUGAGUGCAGAAGGGGAGAGUGGAAUUCCAUGUGUAGCGGUGAAAUGCGUAGAUAUAUGGAGGAACACCGGUGGCGAAAGCGGCUCUCUGGUCUGUAACUGACGCUGAGGCUCGAAAGCGUGGGGAGCGAACAGGAUUAGAAACCCCAGUAGUCCCAUG
rnacentral:rRNA from 1 species